AUUGAACGCUGGCGGCAGGCCUAACACAUGCAAGUCGAACGAGCGGCGGACGGGUGAGUAAUGUAUGGGGAUCUGCCCGAUGGAGGGGGAUAACUACUGGAAACGGUGGCUAAUACCGCAUACUAUCGGAUGAACCCAGAUGGGAUUAGCUAGUAGGUGGGGUAACGGCUCACCUAGGCGACGAUCCCUAGCUGGUCUGAGAGGAUGACCAGCCCCACUGUGACUGAGACACGGUCCAGACUCCUACGGGAGGCAGCAGUGGGGAAUAUUGCACAAUGGGCGAAAGCCUGAUGCAGCCAUGCCGCGUGUAUGAAGAAGGCCUUAGGGUUGUAAAGUACUUUCAGCGGGGAGGCGUUACCCGCAGAAGAAGCACCGGCUAACUCCGUGCCAGCAGCCGCGGUAAUUC
rnacentral:rRNA from 1 species